UACGUAGGGUGCGAGCGUUGUCCGGAAUUACUGGGCGUAAAGAGCUCGUAGGCGGUUUGUCGCGUCUGCUGUGAAAAUCCGGGGCUCAACCCCGGACUUGCAGUGGGUACGGGCAGACUAGAGUGUGGUAGGGGAGACUGGAAUUCCUGGUGUAGCGGUGAAAUGCGCAGAUAUCAGGAGGAACACCGAUGGCGAAGGCAGGUCUCUGGGCCACUACUGACGCUGAGAAGCGAAAGCAUGGGGAGCGAACAGGAUUAGAUA
rnacentral:rRNA from 1 species